UAAACAUUUUUACAUAUUAAUUCAAUAUAAGUAUAAAACGUCAAGCGUUUUAAACAUUUUAAAACUAUUUUUGAAAAAUGAGAUACAUCGUUGUUUCUUACGUCUAGGUAACAAGCCUUUUAAACAUUUUUACAUAUUAAUUCAAUAUAUGUAUAAAACAUCAAACAAAUUAUUUAAAAAUUAAAAAAAAAAUUAUUCGGGUUUCGAUUUAAUAGCAAAUAAUGAAUUUGUUAAAACUUGUAUUGCUUUCAUUUGUUUUACCUCGCUCAUAUCGUUCAUGAUAGAGGUCAACAUAACACCAAACGACCUCACCGCCUCGCUGCCUUUGCUCCUCUCUGCACACAUGCUUUUGUAUAGCACGCACGCUUCUUUGAAGCAGCCGUCGUCAUCGCUGUUUGUUUUCUUUACUCUUUUCCGGAUCGGAGUUGAAAACGACAACUCCGAAGGCGACGAUAAAUUAGUCUGAGAACUAAUUGGCUCCAACAGCUCCUGCGAAAACAUAUCAUCGCUUGAUUAAAAUCCUGUUGAUCCAAACGGUUGUUAUUUUUUGGGUGUGUUCGCCUUCUAUCUGGCACCGAUCCGGCUCGAUUGGACCAAAAUGUUGAGGUAUUCAACUUCGAAAUAGUCGGUUGCCAAAUAAAAGAGAUGAUUUCGUUUUCAAUAUCAAAAUUCACAAUUUAUAUUAUAUGGGGUAUAUACAAUAUGUUUGGGUUAAUUUAUAUAAGAGUGUGUGUGUAUGUUUGUUAUAAAUGAGAGGGUGGGUUAGGUAAAAUAUCACCGUAUAUAAUACCUUAAGUGUUAAUUACAAUUGAAAUUAUAUCUUAAUCUUGUAUAUGACCUGUGGUGGGUAUUCCCGCGUUGGUUGGAUGGUUAUUUCCUGAUCCUGAUUAUUGUGGUGAUCGAGUGGUUGGUUGUCCGUCCGCUUAUUUUGCACUUCCUUUGCUUGUUGUAUUCUCAUUAGAUAUGUUGGUGCGGUUGGUGUUUCUGCAUUGUCCUCUAAUUCGUCUUUCGACCAGUUUAGAGGACAAUGCAGGGAUGUGUUCAUUUGGUAUGAACAACUCUCUUUAGCAAGAGUUGUUGCGAGAGUAUAAAAAAAAUCAGCCUGUACGUUGUAUAUUAUUAAAGAAAAUGAAUUAUAAUUACGUUAAAAAAAUAAUUGCGUAUAUAUUUAUAAAUUACCGUACAAAGUUUUAUUUUAAGAUUUUUUUUGGUGUACGCAGAUAUACGCUUAAAUAUUAACAUAAAAGUAAUAAAUAAAAGGACUCAAGAGAGUUCUAACUUCAACCGUGGGGGAAUUAUGUACUUUAGAUGACAUUCCACUCAUAUAGGAAAUCACAAUCAACCAAUCAAUCCAGUCGGAAAGCCUGAAACUAGACUUCAUAAAAAUUCCCGCCAGUAAACACCUCCCUCAACCUUCCCCGCCAAGUUCGACCCAUCCGUGCAGAAGCUCAAGGAGAGGUACCUCCAGCGAUGGGAUAGCCAAGGGGACAUGGUGAUCGUCCAAUAACUUCGGGAUGAGGUCAAAGUGUGCGAGGAUUCGAGGAGUGCUCAUGCACGCACCAUUUCGCAUUUCGUUGCAUAAGUUCAUACCCGGUAGGCGUUACGCGCGCUUGAGAAACGCCAGCGUUUUUAAUAAGGAGAAAGGAUGGACUUAAAGGUUUAUAUAUGAUGCUAGCAAACCCGGCCACGCGUUUUUAUGGCUAAGAUAUUAUAUUAUAGAAAAGUUUUCAAUAUAGUGAAAUAUAUUCUUACACAUAAAGACGAAAACGUUAUAGCCGGUAAAUGUGAAAAUUAUUGAUAUAUAAUUUUGUAGAUCUGAGCUUAGCGCAAAUCGACAUAACUAAUAAUUUUGUAUUUUUUAAUGUUAUAUUAAAGUAUGUACUGUAUGAACUGUCGAAAAGUUGUAUAUAUUAGCAGUUAUUUACCAAUACCAGGGUUAGGAAAUUCUGCUCCAUUUUUAUCCGUUUUUUUUAUUUUUUUAUUGACAAAAUAGCUCGCUAAAUUUAAAUUAAAAUCUUGCAUCCGUUUCUUUAGUUAUCUUUUUCAGUUGCAUAUAUAGAGAUGCUGAUCUCUUUACUUCACGUAAUGGAUUUCAAAUACGUACGACUGAAGAAAACUAAGUCCACAGAAAUAGCAGUAACAUCCUAGCAAGUCAUUGGUACUGAAAUUCCAACAGAUUCAAAGAAAUUUCCAUAACACCACUACAUACACACAUACGGAACAAAUGGUAAAAUGUGGAUAAACAUUUAACUCAACUCUUCUCUCGUACAGCACCCUGAAUGAGAGAAAGAAACAACCGAAGUUCUCGUGUGUUUGAACAAGUUUAGUAUUGAGCUACAGUGGAACUUCCAUAACUCGAAGAUCCCCAUAAUUGGCAAUAGCGUUUUGAAGCUAAAUUGAAUACAUAUUUUCUUCCUUAACUCGAAGUUCUCCAUAACUCGAACUCUUGAAUUGGCAAUAGAAGUCAAAUUUCAUACAAAUUUCCUUCCAUAAAUCGAACUUUUUGGUUAGGGCGUAAUACAAAAUUUACAAUUUCACUAUCGAGACAGAAUUUUAAAAGAGUCCCUCUAUAUUGUACGGAUGCGAACAAACAAUAUGAUAUUACACUUAUGGAUUGCAUAAAUGAUCUAACGAAAGCAUGGGAUAUAGACGUCAAGCGCCAAACAAUAGCAAAUUGUAACAAACGAAAUACAGAAUGCAUAUUUUAACGAAUAUAAAAAUAAUAUUUCAUCUUACUGUAAAUGCGAUAUACGCAAUAGAAGCAACAACAACAAUAGUCAACAAAAAGGGCGUAAACAUGGAAUGUGUAAAUACUUGUUGAAUAGAAUAAUAUUAUCUUGACUUAAAACGCAACUAAUUUCCCAUACAGAUAUUUCAAACCUCACACGGCGCGUUAAAGGUACGCAACCUAAUUGAUGUCACUCAUGGUAGCUGCGCAAAAUUUUCGAAGGGAUGGAAGUAUGUGCUACAAGCAAAUCCAGAAUUACGGAGGCACAUGCUGCUACAUCGAUCACAAAUUUACACAUCAGAUAUUUGGUUUAAUGUCACAUUUUUUACGUGCAAUUAAACCUUUUGGUCAACACAAGCACGUGAAGAAUUGGAGCGACAUGGUUUAGGUGCUUUUGUAACAGUUUAUCAUCUCGACGUGUCUCAACUGAGUUUUGCCAAUGAGCUAGAGGGCAAAGCAGAUGCAUUUUUAGACCUAAGUUGGCCGUACCAUUAGCAGUUAAAACAGAAAUCAGAGGGAGGCCCUUUUUUGAUUCAUUUUCACCUUGUAUUGAGAAAUGAUAACGUUGUUGUAUCGCCUUACAAGGACAUGGAUUCACCGAAAUUAGUUCCAUGGGAAUACUACAGCAAAAGCAUGGAUGUUAAGACUGGAAUGGUGUCCGUGGUAGAUUAGUAUUCCUGAAGUAUAAGUUUGCUGGUCUGGUCGAAAAGUUCGAUUUAUGGAAGAACAUUUGUAUGGAAUUUGCCUUCUAUUGCCACUUCAAGAGUUUGAGUUAUAGAAGUUCGAGUUAUGGAAAGAAAUUUGUACGAAAAUUGGUUCCUAAACGCUAUUGCUAACUCAAAAGUUCAAGUUAUGGAGAUCUUCGAGUUAUAGAAGUUCGAGUUAUGGAAGUUCCUCUGUAUAUUAAACUGCUGCACAAGCAGGCUUAAGCUCCAGUUACCCAUACUUGACUUGACUCAGCUUCGAAAAAUUUGACUUGGAAAACUUAGAUGCAGUUAUAUUAAACACAGCGCGUAGAAAUCAGCUGUUUUUGAAUGUUGAGAGAGCACACAAAUGUGACAUUUUAAUUGAUUUGUGAAGUUUGUGAAAAUUUAAUAAAUAAUAAAACAAAUUGUUUUACCGAAUACCUUAAUAAUAAUAAUAAAUUUUAAUAAUGGAUAGUGAUUUAUUCCAAGAACUUGUUUAUUUAAAUAUUCUUCGCCUUCAAAGAAGAAAAGUUUUGAGAAGACGUAAACGCCGCUGGUCCGUUCAUCCAGCUAAUCGGGAUAGAAACCCAAAUGGUUUCUUCUGGAAGAACUUUUUAAAAUUAAAAGAAGACGACCAAAAACUAUUUCUUUUAACACGGAUGAAUCGGACAGUGUACAAUAUUCUUUUAAAUAUAAUUAGUCCGUUUUUUAAAAAACCAAAACAACAAGUUGGCGUCGAGGAGCGAGUGGUUAUAACAUUAAUGUACCUCGCUUAUGGAACACCUUUUGAGGUCAUAGCCUCGAUGCAUAAGUUAGGCAAAACAACAGUGUGGAAUAUCGUACUUGAAACGUGUGAAAUACUUUGGUUACAUCUGUCCCCGAUAUACCUUAGCGAGCCAAGUACCGCACAAUAUAAAGAUAUUGCUGCAGAUUUUUUAAAACUGUGGAAUAUACCCAACUAUAGCAAUCUAAAUUUGGUAAAGCGCUCUUGAAAACAAAUUGCCACUACCACCAAGAGCUCCAUUGUGGAAUGAAUCCUCAACAGAUUUUCCACAUUUUUUUGUGGCCGACGCAGCGUUUCCGUUGAAGGAAAACUUAAUGCGACCUUACCCCGGUGCACAGCUGCCACGAAACAAAGCAAUUUUCAAUUACCGGUUAUCGCGAGCUCGUAGAGUAAUCGAAAAUAGCUUUGGUAUUUUAACCGCUCGAUGGCGUGUUCUACGAAAGGUCAUAGACUUUAGCCCAAAGAACUGCGAAACAAUUGUGUUAACCUGCUUGGUUCUUCACAUUUUUGUAAUGUUGAAUGACCAUGAUCGUUGGUAUUGUCCAGAUACAUUUGUAGACACAGACACCGCAGACCAUGGAAUAUUGGAGGGAGAAUGGCGUGAAGAUUUAGAGAGUGUUGGAGGUGCAUUACAUUCAAUAAGUUCAACUCGACGCAAUGCAUCUUGUAUCGCAUUCCGUGUAAGGGAUUUUUUGGCAGAAUAUUUUAUUAACCAGGGAGCAGUUUCAUUUCAAGAAGAUCGUAUUUAGUGUAUAUUUAUUUUAUUUAUAUUUAUAUUUAUUUAUAUCGUAUUUAAUGUGUAAAAUUGUAAUCCAAGUAUGAAGUACUAUACUUUUUGUUACGUUAACUUUUUUAUGAUAUUUUAUUAAACCAUAUGUUUACAUGACUUAGUAACAUAUUUUUCCGCGCUUUGUAUGUGUGUGGUGAAUCUUAGUAACCCUCAUUAAUUUUAUUAAACUUGUAACAAACCAAUUGUAUUUCAUCAAAGAGAAUUUCCAUUUAAUAAACCUAAUAAUAAUUUUUAUAACGUUUUACAAAUAUCGUGUGUUUGCCCCUUUCACAUACUGGUUAUAAUUCCGCACGUAAGUAUACCUGUGUCAUACGUAUACACCAUAGAUAUAUCUAUAAAUAUUGUUUUAUUUACUGAAAAAGAUGUUAAUUAUCUGUAUUAGGAAGAUUACACAGGCAUAUGGCAAAUGAAUUCUGUAUAGUAAAGUUUAUUACGAAAAUAUAUAUGUAUAUAUUUUAUUUACCGACAAAAUCAUAAUUAUGACGGUAUCUAAUUAGUAAAUAAAAUAAGACAUAGGCUGUAUAAUCAAAUAAAUGUACAUACAAAAUAGGAUAAUUUUUCCCUAUCAAAAUCACUACCAACAUAACUACAUAACACACAAAAAAUAAAAGACAAAGACACAAAA